GGCUCAGAUUGAACGCUGGCGGCAUGCCUUACACAUGCAAGUCGAACGGCAGCACGGUGCUUGCACCUGGUGGCGAGUGGCGAACGGGUGAGUAAUACAUCGGAACGUACCUUAUCGUGGGGGGAUAACGCAGCGAAAGCUGUGCUAAUACCGCAUACGCCCUGAGGGGGAAAGCGGGGGAUCGAAAGACCUCGCGCGAUUAGAGCGGCCGAUGCCUGAUUAGCUUGUUGGUGGGGUAAAAGCCCCACCAAGGCGACGAUCAGUAGCUGGUCUGAGAGGACGAUCAGCCACACUGGGACUGAGACACGGCCCAGACUCCUACGGGAGGCAGCAGUGGGGAAUUUUGGACAAUGGGGGCAACCCUGAUCCAGCAAUGCCGCGUGAGUGAAGAAGGCCUUCGGGUUGUAAAGCUCUUUUGUCAGGGAAGAAACACCGGCUCUAACACAGUCCGGGAAUGACGGUACCUGAAGAAUAAGCACCGGCUAACUACGUG
rnacentral:rRNA from 1 species